CGUGGGCGGCUGCCGGAGGCCGGGGCAGAGAAGUGCGCGCAGGGCAGCAGCCGGGCACCGGUCAGUGCCCACCUGCGCAGGUGACGGGCGCUCAUUCCACCUGGGCCUCAAGGCAGAAUGGCGGGCAUUGUUCAGAGAGCCAAGGCUGCAGCUCCGGCUGGGGGGCUCUGCGCCGCCGCCCUUCCCUCGGGAGCCGCAGAGGGCAGAGCCUGCAGCGGGCACCUGGAGCCGCCUCCUGGGGCAGGGACAGGCGACAGGUGUGCCCGGGGGGAGCCCUCCCGCAGCGGGCGGCUGAGCGGCAGGAGGCGGUGGGAGGGCAGCCUGAGGGCAGGGAGGCGGAGGCGGGGUUAGAUGGCUGGUUCCCGGUGCAGUCCGCCGCGGGUCCACGGCGUAACAGCCGAAAACCCCUGCUGGCACACGCAGAGGGGGCGGAGGGGGCCGGUGAUACUGAAGAAGGGAAGCGUGCAACAGCAGGGACCUGCAGGAGGGAGAGAUUCCCCCAAAGGCUGCGGUGCCUUGUCAGGGCCACCUCACCACUCUGCAGAGUGAGAGGGAAAGACGCGGCGGCCACCGCAGGAGACAUGGCGGCGCCGCCUGAGGCAGCCCGGCCUGCUCCCUGUGUAACGGCCAGCGCAGCUAAGGAGAGGCGACGGUGACAGCAGAGGCGGCUCUCCUGGGAGGUGCGCCUCAGCUGACCUGGUGUGUUCUUUGGAGAGGUGUGCUGCUUAGUAGGGGCGCAUGUCAGGGAAGUCACCGAGAGGCCGCCAGGCCUCAUGCAGUCCACUAUUUAAUCAGCCGCAAUUGUUUCAUGUGGGUGGACCAGUGAUACAGCCAGGAGCAGCCAGAGGAAUAUCAGGAGGGGUUACUGAGCCCUGGGAGUGGUGGUAAGGGACUCUGAAGCACAGAUAGUUUUUUCAUCAGCCCUUCCAUUCAAAGGGAGGGGGUUUGAAAGGACCAGUCAAAUCUAGCGAAUCAACAAAUGGUUGCAGGGCAGGUGUCACAGACAGAGGUUCAGCUGCUUAGGUCAUGGGUUGUGCUUUGAGAAACCUGGUCUGCUGGGGGCUGAUGAGGUCCAUCUGUCAGAGACAAAGAGUUCUUCAGUCAUAGGCUUGCCAAGGUGGCAAAGGGGGCUUUAAACUAAAGUUGCAGGUGGAGGGGAACUUCAGUCCAUCCCAUUCCUACCAUUUUGAUGCCAUUGCCAGCAAGAGAUGCCCAGAUUCUGGAGAGGGAUUGCAGGUCAGCAGGAGAGCACCUGAAGAGCAGCACGGAGGAAUUCCAGCCACUCCAGCCAGUAAGUCAGCUUCGUCGGGGCCUGGCUUCAAUGCCUCUAUGCAAAUGCCUGUAGCACAGAGAAUAAACAUGAGGAGUUAGAGAUGUGCACAUGUCUGCAGGGCUGUGAUCUUACUGGCAUCACUGACAUGUGGUGGGAUGGCUCCCAUGUGUGGAAUGUUGGAAUGGAAGGAUACAGGCUCUUCAGGAAAAACAGUCAGGGGAGAUGAGGAGGGGGUGUCACCCUCUAUGUCCAACAGACACAUCAAUCAAUGUUAGGAACCCUGUGGUGCCUGACAUGUUGGGGCAAAGGGGAGCUGACUUUUCAUUGCACUGAUUUCCUGUUUUCUGUGCUAUAACUUAACAGAAUACCUAUUGCGGCUUUUGAAGCUCAUGAAGCUUAGAGCCCACCAUUCAGUAGAAAUGGGCUGGAGGCCACUAAACAGGUAUCAGAUGACAACUGGACUGGUAUUUGACCAAAAUCAGGGUAGAAGAGCUCAUCUGUUUAAUUCAUUUAAAAGAGUUUCUGUGGAGCUUAUCACUAGAACAUAUUUGGUUGUUCUCUUUCCUAGAGGAUAAGGCUUAUCUGGUCCUGCAUUCAUGUCUGUGAAUGUGUUUGUAUGUGUCUGUAUGUCUGUUUGUUUUUCUCCUCUUGGAAUGACUUUGGCACCUUGACGAUCCCAGCUACAUGCUAAGACAGUCUCAGUAUACAAAAUUCCUGCAAGAGUCAUGAUGCUGUGUGUCUGUGAGAGACACAUGUCAUCAGAGCCCUGCUGGGGAAACAGUGUAAGACAGAUCCAUAAGAAGUGAGGCUUCAUUAAUUGUUCAGAUCAUUGAACUUCUUGGCUUUGGAUAUGUCAGUUGCAUACUCUUCUUUGAUUUACUCUGUUAAGAGGAGUGUCCUUGGUAUGUGGCAUCACCUUAGUGGUUUACUUUCACCCUUGAAGAUGGUGACAUUCUCUAUUGUUGAAGAACUUGAUAUAAUCCUAGAGUGGGGUUCGUACUUUUCCUCCAAGCACUGUUUCCAAAAUGACAGUCUUGCCUCAGGCAUUUUCCUUGUCUUCAGCACUAUUUUUUUUUUUUGUGUGAGGUAACAAUUAUUUUGGCUGAAAUGAUGAACUAUACUGUUCAUCCAUUCAAAUCUCUUUUUCAGUGUAAAUGUGUAGAACCCCAAUUUGUGGUAAUUUACAUCUUCAAAAAGUAUUUCAGUGAAGUAAAUAGAGUUAUUUGGGAAGCUUGCAAAAGUUGGUCUGCAGAGUUUUGCUUCAUCCUAUGUUGACUCUGUCCUACCUUGCAAAACAUUUUGUUCCAUAAAUUUUGCUUUCAUGUAAGAAAUGUUCAUUGUAAUUCAUACGUUAUUAUCAUUUAAAUAAGGUUAAUUCAUUGACAUUUCUAAACUGUAUCACAGAUACGGGAAAAAAAAUGUGCUUGCACUUAAGGUCAGUUAGAAGUCUUCUGAUAAGCUUAUGGACAGAAUUAUUCCUGUUAUGUGUAUAUGAGUGGGAAUAUCAGUGGUUUUUUUAGAGUGUUGACAAUCAGAUGUUAUCACUUAUGUUUUAAUUCUUUUUUCCCAAAAAUUGAGUCUGUUUGCUUGGAAGGAUUGGCUGCUGCUCAGAGGGCAUGGUACCACCCAUCACCGGUCUGUACAGCUGCUACUGCUAGAAGCAAAAGAAGGUAACCACUUUCUAUUAACAAUACAGAGUAGUAUGGCAAAAUUGGUGCCUAAAUUUGUGCCUUGGAGCCAGGCUCCACCUCGGGAGUGAGUUUUCUAGUGGGGCUUGUGUGAGUGCAGAUCCUCAUAUGUAUCAUGCCCUCACUCAUGGCCCAGAACCACAAACCAGCCCUCUUGAUUUUUGUCCUUUUUGUCCAGGAAGUGCUGGCACAACAGGCUGGUCAGUGGCCUUGACCCUCAAAGUCCCAUUUCAGGAAGAUGGCUGCACAACACUCGUCUGCGAAGGGGUGAAAUGCAGGGCAGAGAGGCAGGAGAUAAAUAUUACAAGUUUCAUGCAAGCUAUUUAGGUUGGGAUUUUCCCAAGUACAGACUGGAUAACGAGGUCCUUACAUAUGCAGAAUGUAACUCUUUCGAUGCAACAUCAGAAGAAUUGUGAAUAGAAGGGGGGAAAACCUCCCUUUUUUUCUUAAUCAGAGAGAUGAUGACAGCAUAACAUCCCAGUGCAAUGACAGCAGAGGAAUGGCUUGCUAUUAAGUGAGCUUUUGCACCAAGUAUGUGCAAACUGGGCUGUAUGGCUCUGGCUUAUGAAGUUACAAGGCAAGGUAAUAAGACUGUAUAAGGGAACAAAAUAUAAACAAUGUGCUGUGUAGGAGAUGAUACGUGAGAGUGUAUCUGGAAAGAAAGUAAUGCCAGUCAGUGGGAAUCAAGUUAGCAGCCAUUUUCUAGAUUUAGUAUCUAGUAAGAUGAGUAAACACUGGAUUUCAGAUUUGUUGUAGGUAGUCUAAAUGAUUAUUUUAAUUAAUUUAUGUUCUUUCUAACAGUGAUUACAUACAUGCUAUGAAUUAAACCCACAGUAUUAAGAACAUGUAGACAUUGGCUGUAAAUGAUGAGCUUGUGUCUUUUUAAUAACAGACAGCUCAUAAUAGAGCAGUGUUAAGAUGUAAGAAAGUCACGAGCCAUAGUUUUUAAAAUGGCGAUUGGAUUUUUGGUAUAGGAAAUGAAAGCAUUUUCCACUGAUCAGAACAAUUAUGCUUCUUAAUAGGGGACUGUUGCCACAGUGACUAGAAUGCUCUGAUGUCAUUCCUAGUAGCUGGUCAACUAAUCUGCACUCUCAGCCUCAUAUUCCAACAGGCUUUUUUUGUAACUGAUUUGCGCUAAGAGUGGAGGAUGUUAUGUGUGCCUUUGGGGAAGGAAGAAUGCCCUCGACACACUAUCCUUGAACAAGACAGUUUAAUUUCACAGUAAAGGGCUGGCAAAGAUCUUUUCUAUGAUCACCUAUAGUGUCUAUCACUUCUGCUCUACAAGGAAGUCCUGCAUGAAGAUGACAGUCUUGCUGGGGAACUCCUCAAGGAAGAGGUGUUGAGAAACAGCCUGUCUCACCUUCUCUGAGGGAUCUGCUGGGGCAGAAGCAUUUUGAAGUUUCAGAACUUUAGAGUUCUCUAUCAAUGUAGCAAAGGCUCAACCCCCUGAAAUGUACUGGUGUUGAAACAGCCUGGGAGCUCAGAUGAGUAUAAUGCAAGCACCUAGACAGAUGGUAUGAAAAUGGGAAGAGACAUAAUUGAUGAAGAGAACUGGAAGGGCAUUCCCAUGCAUGACUAUCAAUUCUGGGAACAGAAGACAGCAUGGUGGCUGAUUAUUUUUCCAAACUUUUGUACUAAAGCUAUGCAUGAGUCUGGAGACUUAGCAACUUUUUAACACUAAGUUGUUUCAUGUGCUGUCCAGUGUGAAAGAAGACAAUUAAACAGUGAGUCCACAAAAUUCACUCAAAACUAAAAUUUUUCUCCCUAGGGACCCACAAUGCCAAUUGUAUAUUGUUAUUUUAAACGUUGAGUAACUGCUGAUAUGUGACAGUGACAACUGUCAGAAUAUCUAUGAAGCUAAUGAAAAAAUAAGAGAGAGGUGAUGCUGUCAAGGUUUGCUUAUUUGUGGAAGUGGUUCAUUGUGGAUCAUUGCACACAAUGAAUAGAAAAAUGCACAACGUACUUACCAUGCUGGGCCAGUUCCACACCCACAUUCUUGGACGUGUGGUGUUUAAAAGGAGGCUGCAGACAGGGGUGAAGGGCUAGGCAUUUUUGUGCUUUCAGUCACAAUGUAGAUGUGGUGCUUUUUGUUGGUGUGGACACCCACAGUGAAGGGAAGCAGUCCAUACAGGUGCUAUAAUCAGGGUGGGUAUUUACUGACUUCUGAGUGCUUGAGAUUUACAUCUCAAACACCUUUUGAUGUAGGGUUUGGUUUUGUUUUCUGUAUUGUGCCGUUCUGUUCAGUGGCUGAACUGGUCCCUAAUGUCACAUCGGUACUACAAAAAGACACGCUGGAACCAUCUUAAGAAAGGAAACAGAACAGAAUAGCCACACACUGCACUGUGCCACUGUUAACACUGCUUUUAGAUAUUUGUAUCAAUGCCUUUGAAGUUACAUCUUUAUCACUGAUUGUAGUACAAAACUUCCUGGAACAUGUCAGUUUAAUUCUUUAUCUUUGUGCUAAUUAGCACAAAAGCAGGGCAAUAGCAAAGCCCUAAGUCAUGCGUUCUGUACCCAGAACUGUUUAUCCACAAUAUUCAUGCUGUUUAAUGUUGCAACAUAUAACCUUCCAAAUUUCAACACUGUCAUGUUUUCUCAUGUAUUACAAAAAAAAUCUGUAAUAUUUAACUCUGCAUGUGACAAGUGUAUGAUAGGAAAGACAGUCAGAGUGGGUGAGAGGUCUGACUCAAUGCAAAAUUACUUGCCACUAUGGGAGGCUGCAUACGAGCAGCCUGGCAUCAACUAAACACCUGGUUUCAAACUUUUCAUCAUUAUUUUCCAGAAAUAGUUGCCCAUGUUACCAGCCUGAUUUUAGUUAUUUCCUGUCUUUUGAAGGCUUGACUCAAUGACCUAACAUACUCUUUGGGGGGUGUGUGUGUGUGUGUGUAGCUCUGUGUGUAAUGUCAUGCCAAUACAAAACAGGGUACCUGAAGGCUUGGAAAAGGCAGUUCUUGUUUAGACAGAGUUGUUUCUUUGUAAAGGUUCAUUGUAUGACCGGUCUUUAUUUAAGCAGAAUGUCAUAAAAACUUGAUGCACCUAAGAAAAAUGUGCUUUAUCUCAUGCUUAUAAUAAAACGCUGUACAGCCUCAAAGACUA